ACCUGAGCUGCCGCCGUCCAUCUCCGCCGGUUUUUGCGCCUCACCAGCCACCGGAUCCGCUCCGUCUCGGCCCCAAACAAAAGCUGGAAAAAUGGGUAUGGCAGCGGACAUUUGGCCCGUUUUGGCCGCCUUCCCGAGCCCGGAUGCUCGGCCCCCCUUGAGGAAAGUCAAUCCUCACGUCGUCCUCGUCGUUUUGGUCCGCUCGGCUCGCUAAUCCGGUGAGUUUAACUCACUAAAUCUUGAUUAGAGGGUUAAUGAUGCCCUAAGUGUGCUUAGUCUAAGUUAAGUAAGUUUAUGUGGUUAGAUUAGUUUAUUUGGUUGAUGAUUAGAUUAGGGUGUUUAAUUAAGUUAAAGUGUGUUUAGUUUAAGGUUAAGUAUGUUUAUCUUUAAUAUAAAGCCUUGAUGUGACAUAAUAGGAUUUUAUUUUUGAAUUAUUUAAUGAUUUCGAAUUCUGGAAUUUAUAAUAUUAUAUUAUAUUUCGAAAUUAUUAAAAUAUUAUUAUUUAAUUAUUUUCGGAAUAAAUUUAAUUAUUUAUUAAAUUCCGAAAAUUUUGUCAAGACCCUAAAUUCUCAGAAUUUCGUGCCGAUCGCUGCUGUGUAGUCAGAUUUUGAAAUUGAUGAUUGGAUGUUAUAAAUCGAGUGUGGAUUGUGAAAGAUAGGGAUAUUAUUAUUUAAUUAAUUUUCGAAAUAAAUUUAAUUAUUAAAUAAAUUCCGAAAAUUAUUUUGGGACCCUAAAUUCUCAGAAUUUUGUGCUGAUCGCUGCUGUGUAUUCAGAUUAUGAAUUUGAUGAUUAGAUAUUACAAAUUGAGUGAUGAUUUGUGCAAUUGAUUAUUGAAUUGUUGUGUGCUGGUUGAAAGACUCAGGUCGCAGUAGUGGCUUGGCCGACUGGACCUUUGUUCUUUUAGAAAUGCUGUCAAGAGAGUGACGUGGCUCGGGUUACAAUAGUGGCUAGGCCGACUGGAUCCUUUGUUCUUCUAGAAAUGUCGUCAAGAGAGUGACGUGGCUCGGGUCGUAGUAGAGGCUAGGCCAACUGGACCCAUGCUCCUUCGGGAAUGCAGUCGACGUACUGACGAAGCCGCGCUCCAAGGUGGGCAGGCGAUGCCUGGUUAUAUGCCAGUAGAUAGCCGAACUGCGAGUAGGCUAUGCCCUUGUGUGACAGUGAAUAACAAUUGGAAUGCAUGUUGAGUGUUGUUGAUGUGUCGGAUUAUGAGACGGAAUUGUGUGGCAUGGAAUGGGAUGUGUCAUAACGAUUUAGUCUUAUAAUCAGGACUCCCGCGGUUGUUGGUUAUAUGAAAGUGAAUGCGUUCCGGUUGUUUAAGUUCCUAUUACUAUCUGUGAUUGAGUGAUUUGAAUUGUGCUAACCUGCAGGAAGGAACUGAGGCGAGGUAAAUAUUCUGUGUGAUGUGGCUAGGCCACUCGGGGUGUAUUUUCUUUCUAAUAGGGGUUUAGGGGGUUGAACUUGUUGAGACAUUGUCUCAUCCCGGUUGUGGGAUUAAAAUUUCAGGUCCCUAGAUGGCGGUUGUGAAGGACCCGAAGCCCUAAGUCUGGAAAGGUGGAGACUGAAGUAUCGGUGAACGUGUCAUGCUAAUUGGUUUUAGGAUGGUUCCCCUUUUUUCGAGCUGGUCUAUUUUGUAGACAGUCCAGAGUUAUAUUUAAACCUAUGUGUUUGUAAAUGAGUGUUUGGUAUUGUGAUUGAUUGCCUGCUUUUCUAUCCCAAGUUAAAUGUUGUC
rnacentral:lncRNA from 1 species